rnacentral:rRNA from 1 species
UGGGGAAUAUUGGACAAUGGGCGCAAGCCUGAUCCAGCCAUGCCGCGUGAGUGAUGAAGGCCCUAGGGUUGUAAAGCUCUUUCAACGGUGAAGAUAAUGACGGUAACCGUAGAAGAAGCCCCGGCUAACUUCGUGCCAGCAGCCGCGGUAAUACGAAGGGGGCUAGCGUUGUUCGGAUUUACUGGGCGUAAAGCGCACGUAGGCGGAUAUUUAAGUUAGGGGUGAAAUCCCAGAGCUCAACUCUGGAACUGCCUCUAAUACUGGGUAUCUAGAGUUCGAGAGAGGUGAGUGGAAUUCCGAGUGUAGAGGUGAAAUUCGUAGAUAUUCGGAGGAACACCAGUGGCGAAGGCGGCUCACUGGCUCGAUACUGACGCUGAGGUGCGAAAGCGUGGGGAGCAAACAGGAUUAGAUACCCCUGUAGUCC